rnacentral:rRNA from 1 species
CAAUAGCGUAUAUUAAAGUUGUUGCAGUUAAAAAGCUCGUAGUUGGAUUUCGGGGCCCCGGACGCUCGUUGCGUUGUCUGCCGGACUUGUCCAGUGGGCGCGUGGCGGUCGUCGGUCUCUGAGUCGGAUCGGUCCGCCGAGAGGCGUGCACUGACCGACGGCCCCUGUUGUCUCUCGGGUUGCCCGCCUGCACUUAACUGUUGCGGACGGGGAGUUCGGGACGUUUACUUUGAACAAAUUAGAGUGUUCCAAGCAGGCCGUUUGCUUUGAAUACAUUAGCAUGGAAUAAUGGAAUAGGGCUGCGUGGCCUGUCGUUCACGGCAGGUCCUCGUGUCCUAUUUUGUUGGUUUUCGGGACCGCAGUCAUGGUCAAGAGGGACAGUUGGGGGCAUUCGUAUUCAGUUGUCAGAGGUGAAAUUCUUGGAUUUACGGAAGACGAACAACUGCGAAAGCAUUUGCCAAGGAUGUUUUCAUUAA